CAAUUUGAAGCGGGAGCAGUUUGAACAGAGCGGCUGGAGUUGAGUGAAGGUGGUCAUUGGGCUCUGGUCAGGACCGGGGCCGGCUUCCACUCGGGCUACAACAUGAGCUAAUCAUCAGGAAAACGACUUAUUCCGCUGUCGCGCGAACCGAGGUUAGUUGAUCAGAGUACCACAUUAUGGUUCCUACUCCUAGAACAAAUAAAGUUCAAGAAGUAGAUGGCACUCCAUGCCAUGGGUGCAGGAACCUCCAAAGAGGAGUAAAAAUACAAUCUCGGCAACUCUUUGUAAACAGAUUGGAAAGCAUGGAGACUCCUAAUCUGAAAGGCAGGACUGCUUUUAUUCCACGGCAGCGAUUGGUGACUCCCCUGAUUUCGAACACAUUGAAUCAUCUAAUCUCUAGUGUUGAAAACAGCCAAAGAAAGUCAGAGAAACCAGUCAGCCCAAAUCUUGAGAUGCUUAGAAUGACACCAGCAGGCCUUCAACAGAAACAAAAGAUUUUACAAGAAAAGCAUCUGAAGGCAAAAUCCUCAUUGGACAAGAUUCCUGUAGGAGGCGGAGUAAG